rnacentral:rRNA from 1 species
AGUGAACGCUGGCGGUAGGCCUAACACAUGCAAGUCGAACGGCAGCACAGUAAGAGCUUGCUCUUACGGGUGGCGAGUUGCGAACGGGUGCGGAAUACAUCGGAAUCUACUUUUUCGUGGGGGAUAACGUAGGGAAACUUACGCUAAUACCGCAUACGACCUACGGGUUAAAGCAGGGGAUCUUCGGACCUUGCGCGAUUGAAUGAGCCGAUGUCGGAUUAGAUCGUUGGCGGGGUAAAGGCCCACCAAGGCGACGAUCCGUAGCUGGCCUGAGAGGAUGAUCAUCCACACUGGAAGUGAGACACGGUCCAGACUCCUACGGGAGGCAGCAGUGGGGAAUAUUGGACAAUGGGCGAAAGCCUGAUCCAGCCAUACCGCGUGAGUGAAGAAGGGAUUCGGGUUGUAAAGCACUUUUGUUGAGAAAGAAAAGCAGCAGGUUAAUACCCCGCUGUUCUGACGGUACCCAAAGAAUAAGCACCGGCUAACUUCGUG